rnacentral:lncRNA from 10 species
CCGAGCCCCGCCCUAGUCCCACACAGCCCCGCCCCGGCCGGACUCAGCCUCAUCUCACUCCGCCUUCCUGCGCGUUGUACGGUUGCCAAGGGGACGCACCACUCUCCAGGACCUUCUGGGCGCAUCUGGGGACUAAGAAAAGCCAGAGACAGUUCUUGAAUCCCCAGAUGUGGAACCCAUGGAUAUGGAGGGCUAACUAUAUACAUCCCAUGCACUGAGAAAAUAGGAAAUGGCUUAAUUUUUAUUUGAGGUGGAAACCUUUGGCUUCAAGCCUGCCAUUCAACACUGAUGACAUCUCAGUCGUGAGCCGCACAGUGGGCUGAGUCCUGGUCACUGCACAUCUGCAGCCAGCUGUGCAAUCAAGUCUUUGGCAUCUUGCAUGGUGGAGGGUAUCUCUGAGCCAUUCUUAGUCAGACAGGAUCUUGCUUUGUCGCCCAGGCUGGAGUGCAGUGGCGCAAUCUUGACUCACCGCAACCUCCGCCUCCCACGUUCAAGCAAUUCUCCUGCCUCACCCUCCUGAGUAGCUGGGACUACAGGUGUGUGCCACCACGCCCCACUCAUUUUUAAAAAUCUUUUGUAAAGAGGAGCAUCUUGCUAUGUUGCUCAGGCUGGUGUCAAACUCCUGGCCUCAAGCAAUCCUUCCACCUAGGCCUCCCUAACUGCUGGGAUUACAGGCAUGAGCCACUGCACCCAGACUAAUUUUGUUUUUCCAUUUUCCUUUUAGUCUUCUAAGAUUAUUUCAACAGGAGCAAUUAUUUUUAUUUAUAUUUAAUAACAGAAAUUUGAUUCAUCUAUUGUUUUAGGUCUAUAUGAUACUUUACCAAUUAUAGUUCUUGCCACUGUGAGUUUUCUUUUGUGCUCAUUAUUUCUACUGAACAAAAAAAUCCUCAACCAAUUUUGGGGAGUAGAGGAAGACAGAGAAGAGAAUGGAGAGGGAACAGAUUCAGACAACGUGCAGUGGGAAAAGGAGGUUCAGAGGAGAGACAGGGAAAGAGAUGGGGGAGGCUUGGAAGAGGGAAACCCACAGGAAGAGGCAGAGGGGGAAGACAGGAAGCCUGUGCUUAGGCCGCAUGCCAGGGCCAAAACCUCCUUACGAUGGAAAUGGCAAGGUCAAAACAUACAUCUUUAACUCUCAUACACCAAGAAUUAUUUAAGCAAAUGACCUGUGACAUUCCCUUUCAUAAAUAACACAGAUUCAGCUAUAGUUUUCCAGUCCUUUGUAAAAGUUUUUUCACUUCUAAAAUUGCAUUUGUAAUUGGCUUUUUGUUAUUUCAUAGCAUUCCCCCUAAGUUUUAGAAGAUCAUCAUUUUUAAAUCUCUGGAAAUAACCUAAUAUUGUGUCUUUUUUUUUUCCUGUAUCAUAUGAACCUAUUUUUUUUUGAGACGGAAUCUCACCCUGUCACCCAGACUGGAGUGCAGUGGUGCAAUCUCGGCUCACUGCAACCUCCGCCUCCCAGGUUCAAGCGAUUCCCCUGCCUCAGCCUCCCAAGUAGCUGGGAUUACAGGUGUGCGCCACCACACCCAGCUAAUUUUUCUAUUUUUAGUAGAGACGGGUUUUCACCAUGUUGGCCAGGCUGGUCUCGAACUCCUGACCUCAGGUGUUCCGCCCGCCUUGGCCUUCCAAAGUGCUGGGAUUAUAGGCAUGGGCCACUGUGCAUGUCCCGAACCUAUCAAAUUCUAUCACUUGGAGCCUGUGGGGCUUUUCCUGAUGUGCUUAAGCCUGGGAGGUGGAGCUUGCAGUGAGCCGAGAUCACACCACUGUACUCCAGCUUGGGU